AAGGAAUUUUGUGCAAUGGGCGAAAGCCUGACACAGCAACACCGCGUGAGGGAUGAAGGCCUUCGGGUUGUAAACCUCUUUUACUAGGGAAGAAUAAUGACGGUACCUAGUGAAUAAGCUUCGGCUAACUACGUGCCAGCAGCCGCGGUAAUACGUAGGAAGCGAGCGUUAUCCGAAUUUACUGGGCGUAAAGUGGGCGUAGGCGGCCUUUCAAGUCGGAUGUGAAAUCUCCAGGCUUAACCUGGAGGGGUCAUCUGAUACUGCUAGGCUGGAGGACAGCAAGGGAAGGUGGAAUUCUCGGUGUAGUAGUGAAAUGCGUAGAUAUCGGGAGGAACACCAGUGGCGAAGGCGGCCUUCUGGGCUGUUUCUGACGCUGAGGCCCUAAAGUGUGGGGAGCGAAC
rnacentral:rRNA from 1 species